AGUCUUCGAGUGAUAAGUGAUAACUGCAAUCAAUGCUGAUACAAACAUCUUAAAUCUGGACGCUAUAUUCUCUGUCAUGUCAAACUAAUGACUACACUGUUUGAUUAAUGUCUUUCGUAAAUGGAUAUUAUUUCUUGUUUGUAAUACGGACUCAAACAGUCAAAACAUGAUUUCAAGUAAUAUUCUUAAACUGAAUAGUGGAUUGUGGAUUCUGUCUUAUAUGAGCAAUACACCUCAUGUGUUAUGCCAAAAAGAUCUGGCGUUCAUUUACAAGGAUUAUUCUAGUAUAAGUAUAACCAAAUAAUCAUCAGUCGACAUUGUUUUCUGUUUAUCAUCAAAGACAUAUAAACAAGAACUAGAACCAGGACCAUAUGAACCAUGGAAUUGUAGAAAAGGACCAAAUGGAAGGAUGUUUCAAAUAAAAAUCUGUUCAUUUACGAAAUCAUCCAGUAUUAUCAAUGAAGAUAAAUAAAUAUAAUUAUGAGCUCA